rnacentral:rRNA from 1 species
GAUUCUGGCUCAGAUUGAACGCUGGCGGCGUGCUUAACACAUGCAAGUCGCGCGUGAAAGGACUUCGGUCCGAGUGAAGCGGCGCACGGGUGAGUAACGCGUGGAUGAUCUACCCAUGAGUUAGGAAUAACGGCUGGAAACGGUCGCUAAUACCAAAUACGCUCCGAUUUCAACUUCGGGGGAAAGGUGGCCUCUGCUUGCAAGCUACUGCUCAUGGAUGAGUCCGCGUCCCAUUAGCUAGUUGGUGGGGUAACGGCCCACCAAGGCGACGAUGGGUAGCCGGUCUGAGAGGAUGACCGGCCACACUGGGACUGGAACACGGCCCAGACUCCUACGGGGGGCAGCAGUGGGGAAUAUUGCGCAAUGGGCGAAAGCCUGACGCAGCGACGCCGCGUGAGGGGAAUGAAGGUCCUCGGAUCGUAAACCUCUGUCAGGAGGGAAGAACCGCCACGGUGCUAAUCAGCCGUGGUCUGACGGUACCUCCAAAGGAAGCACCGGCUAACUCCGUGCCAGCCGCCGC